UACGGGGGGGGCAAGCGUUGUUCGGAAUUACUGGGCGUAAAGGGCUCGUAGGCGGCCAACUAAGUCAGACGUGAAAUCCCUCGGCUUAACCGGGGAACUGCGUCUGAUACUGGAUGGCUUGAGUUUGGGAGAGGGAUGCGGAAUUCCCGGUGUAGCGGUGAAAUGCGCAGAUAUCGGGAGGAACACCUAUUGCGAAGGCAGCUCGCUGGGACGUCACUGACGCUGAGACGCGAAAGCGUGGGGAGCAAACAGG
rnacentral:rRNA from 1 species